rnacentral:rRNA from 1 species
GACGGAAGGUGCAAGCGUUGCUCGGAAUCACUGGGCGUAAAGGGUGCGUAGGCGGCCUUGCAAGUCGGAUGUGAAAUCCCACGGCUCAACCGUGGACGUGCAUCCGAAACUGCUCGGCUCGAGUAUGGAAGAGGGUCGCGGAAUUCCCGGUGUAGAGGUGAAAUUCGUAGAUAUCGGGAGGAACACCAGUGGCGAAGGCGGCGACCUGGGCCAAUACUGACGCUGAGGUGCGAAAGCGUGGGGAGCAAACAGG